UUUAUUAUAUGAAUCAUAAGCAUGUGCUUAUCUAUUACAAGUACCUUUGAUGGUGAAAAUUACAUUUUUUAUCUGAAGAGAGUUGGGAGAAAUGUUCAUAUUGAAACGAGAUAUUGUGUAAAGAGGUUUUCAAAGAAGUCGUUUUAACAACA